rnacentral:rRNA from 1 species
AUACGGAGGGUGCGAGCGUUAAUCGGAAUUACUGGGCGUAAAGCGCGCGUAGGCGGUUUGGUCAGUCGGAUGUGAAAGCCCCAGGCUCAACCUGGGAAUGGCAUUCGAUACUGCCUGACUAGAGUAUGGUAGAGGGAAGUGGAAUUUCCGGUGUAGCGGUGAAAUGCGUAGAUAUCGGAAGGAACACCAGUGGCGAAGGCGACUUCCUGGGCCAAUACUGACGCUACGGUGCGAAAGCGUGGGGAGCAAACAGGAUUAGAAACCCCAGUAGUCC